CUUCUACUUCCUCCGUCCAACAAAAAAUGUCUCAGGUUUGUCAAAAUUUAGAUACAUUGAAACAUGACUUAGUGUAUAGAUGCAUUCAAAUUUAGUCAAAGUUGAGACGUGUUGGACGGAGGAAGUACUAA
rnacentral:pre_miRNA from 1 species